rnacentral:rRNA from 1 species
CUUGGUGACCAUAGCAAGCGUGAACCACCCGAUCCCAUCCCGAACUCGGAAGUGAAACCGCUUAGCGCCGAUGAUAGUGUGGCAGGUUGCCAUGUGAAAGUAGGUCAUCGCMAAGC